rnacentral:rRNA from 1 species
CCUCCAUGCUUCCAAGAAAAGCAUCUAGAGAGAGAAGUAGUGCCCGUACCGCAAACCGACACAGGUAGAUGAGGAGAGAAUCCUAAGGCCGGCGGAAGAAUUGCAGUUAAGGAACUAGGCAAAUUGACCCCGUAAGUUAGCGAGAAGGGGUGCCUGCGAGAGCAGGCCGCAGAGAAUAGGCCCAAGCAACUGUUUAGCAAAAACACAGGUCUCUGCUAAAGCGCAAGCUGAUGUAUAGGGGCUGACGCCUGCCCGGUGCUGGAAGGUUAAGGGGAACACUUAGCGCAAGCGAAGGUGUGAACUUAAGCCCCAGUAAACGGCGGCCGUAACAAUAACGGUCCUAAGGUAGCGAAAUUCCUUGUCAGGUAAGUUCUGACCCGCACGAAUGGCGUAAUGACUUGGGCACUGUCUCAACUGCAAAUCCGGCGAAGUUGUAGUGCGAGUGAAGAUGCUCGCUACCCGCGAUUGGACGGAAAGACCCCGUAGAGCUUUACUGUAGCUUAGCAUUGAAUUCCGGUAUUGUCUGUACAGGAUAGGUGGGAGACUGGGAAACUAGGGCGUCAGCCUUGGUGGAGUCGUCCUUGGGAUACCACCCUGACAGUACUGGGGUUCUAACAGGACGCCAUGAAUCUGGUGACUGGACAUUGUUAGGUGGGCAGUUUGACUGGGGCGGUCGCCUCCUAAAAAGUAACGGAGGCGCCCAAAGGUUCCCUCAGAACGGUCGGAAAUCGUUCGUAGAGUGCAAAGGCAGAAGGGAGCCUGACUGCGAGACCUACAAGUCGAGCAGGGACGAAAGUCGGGCUUAGUGAUCCGGUGGUACCUCGUGGGAGGGCCAUCGCUCAACGGAUAAAAGCUACCUCGGGGAUAACAGGCUGAUCUCCCCCAAGAGUCCACAACGACGGGGAGGUUUGGCACCUCGAUGUCGGCUCGUCGCAUCCUGGGGCUGUAGUAGGUCCCAAGGGUUGGGCUGUUCGCCCAUUAAAGCGGCACGCGAGCUGGGUUCAGAACGUCGUGAGACAGUUCGGUCCCUAUCCGUCGCGGGCGUAGGAAAUUUGAGAGGAGCUGUCCUUAGUACGAGAGGACCGGGAUGGACUGACCUCUGGUGCACCAGUUGUUCUGCCAAGAGCAUGGCUGGGUAGCUAAGUCGGGAAGGGAUAAACGCUGAAAGCAUCUAAGCGUGAAGCCUCCCUCAAGAUGAGAUUUCCCAUAGCAUAAGCUAGUAAGACCCCUUGAAGAACACGAGGUUGAUAGGUCAGAGGUGUAAGUAUGGUAACAUAUUUAGCUGACUGAUACUAAUAGGUCGAGGGCUUGAC